rnacentral:rRNA from 1 species
GACGAACGCUGGCGGCGUGCUUAACACAUGCAAGUCGAACGGAAAGGCCCUGCUUUUGUGGGGUGCUCGAGUGGCGAACGGGUGAGUAACACGUGAGUAACCUGCCCUUGACUUUGGGAUAACUUCAGGAAACUGGGGCUAAUACCGGAUAGGAGCUCCUGCUGCAUGGUGGGGGUUGGAAAGUUUCGGCGGUUGGGGAUGGACGCGCGGCUUAUCAGCUUGUUGGUGGGGUAGUGGCUUACCAAGGCUUUGACGGGUAGCCGGCCUGGGAGGGUGACCGGCCACAUUGGGACUGAGGGACGGCCCAGACUCCUACGGGAGGCAGCAGUGGGGAAUAUUGCACAAUGGGCGGAAGCCUGAGGCGGCGACGCCGCGUGCGUGAUGACGGCCUUCGGGUUGUGAACCGCUGUCGCCUGUGACGAAGCGUGAGUGACGGUAAUGGGUAAAGAAGCACCGGCUAACUACGUG